AAGUACCAAAAUCACCGAUAACAAUUACCACGAGGUCAUCGGUCACAUGGAGAGGCAAGCUGAGGUCUCUUGUGAAGAAGCCUUACAAAGACCAAAGACAUUCUAUGAUAACCCAGAAUUUGGUAAGUUUUACACGAUACCAUCUAAGAACAAAAGAAAUGCUGCUCCAUUGAUGGCAUUUCUCUGAGUAAUCCAGAAUGGAUUGCUACUUUCCACCACAAUUUUUGCCAGAAUCCACAGAAUGUGACACAGCUGGAACAGAGUCUUCAAAAUGGAUGUACAACUUUCAGACCCAUAGGCUUCCAAAGGCUUCUUCAAGUGCCCUUUUCCUGCUUAUUUCUAAACUCCAACCCCCAGCCUUAGCAGCCCUUUCAGUUCUUAGUUUCAUCUUUUCAUCAUCUUCAUACUCUCCCCCUAGCAUAUCUGGAAAUGAUCCAACUGGGAGAGGUUGUGUUGGCCGUGGCUGAGCUAUGCCUCCAGCUAUUGCAGGGGCAUAGUGCCCUUGUGGACCUGUACUGGACCCUGCCUGAGGCCCUUGGCCCAAAGCAUCUCCAUCGGACUGUGCAGGCUGUCCCUUGCUGGCUGCCAAGGCUGCUGCAUAUUCUUCAGCCUUACGUGCUUGAGCAAUCAUGAUUUGGUCUGCAUUUUCUCUCUGGUACUGUGCAAUCUUUGCCUCAAUAGCAGGAACAUCAAUGCCUUCAAUUAAAUUGAAUAUCAUAUCCUCAACUUCCUCCAGAUAAUCAUUGUAUUCACGCAAUGAUGGAAAAUUCUCUUCUCUUUUAUUAUAGAUGUUGGCAAUGCGUUUUCUGAUGGCCAUCUCUUUGGAAAAUGCAUUGGUUGAGGCUACCACCAUUAUUAGAGCCGCUUUCGAACCCUAAGAAUCAACUCGAUAAUUUGUUCUCGUCUCUACAUCUACGUACGGCGAUAGAGAUGACGGAACCGGCGGUGAUGUAAGCUCCGGCUAAAUAUAGCCUGAAGAAAUGGGGGAAGUGAAGUGAAA
rnacentral:misc_RNA from 1 species